GUAGCGAAAUUCCUUGUCGGGUAAGUUCCGACCUGCACGAAUGGCGUAAUGAUGGCCAGGCUGUCUCCACCCGAGACUCAGUGAAAUUGAACUCGCUGUGAAGAUGCAGUGUACCCGCGGCAAGACGGAAAGACCCCGUGAACCUUUACUAUAGCUUGACACUGAACAUUGAGCCUUGAUGUGUAGGAUAGGUGGGAGGCUUUGAAGUGUGGACGCCAGUCUGCAUGGAGCCGACCUUGAAAUACCACCCUUUAAUGUUUGAUGUUCUAACGUGGACCCGUAAUCCGGGUUGCGGACAGUGUCUGGUGGGUAGUUUGACUGGGGCGGUCUCCUCCUAAAGAGUAACGGAGGAGCACGAAGGUUGGCUAAUCCUGGUCGGACAUCAGGAGGUUAGUGCAAUGGCAUAAGCCAGCUUGACUGCGAGCGUGACGGCGCGAGCAGGUGCGAAAGCAGGUCAUAGUGAUCCGGUGGUUCUGAAUGGAAGGGCCAUCGCUCAACGGAUAAAAGGUACUCCGGGGAUAACAGGCUGAUACCGCCCAAGAGUUCAUAUCGACGGCGGUGUUUGGCACCUCGAUGUCGGCUCAUCACAUCCUGGGGCUGAAGUAGGUCCCAAGGGUAUGGCUGUUCGCCAUUUAAAGUGGUACGCGAGCUGGGUUUAGAACGUCGUGAGACAGUUCGGUCCCUAUCUGCCGUGGGCGCUGGAGAACUGAGGGGGGCUGCUCCUAGUACGAGAGGACCGGAGUGGACGCAUCACUGGUGUUCGGGUUGUCAUGCCAAUGGCACUGCCCGGUAGCUAAAUGCGGAAGAGAUAAGUGCUGAAAGCAUCUAAGCACGAAACUUGCCCCGA
rnacentral:rRNA from 1 species